GCAUACAUAUGCACUCGUAAUUAUGGAAAACUCCAUGAUUGAACAUUAUAUGCAUGUCCAGAUUCCUGAUUCAGGAUUUCUUGUCGUAGACAAAUCACUAUAAUUGAGCUUAUCCAUAUGGUUUUCUUUCUGCUCAUUCUAAUGAGGAAGUUGACCUACAUCGAUACAUCAUUGAUCCCUACAGGUGGAUAGCAGCAGGGGGCUGUACUACUUUUCAUGCCUUCAAGAACCGGGUCAUAUAUACCACACUGUAUCCACAAUCCCAAUUAUGCAUCACUAGAAAGUUGAUAGGUCCUACCAGUCCAAAAUUAAAUCCAUACUAGUCCAUCAACCCGUGCUCCCGCACAGGCUAAUGUUUUUAGAAGCUAUUGUAUUUAAAAAUUAUUUAGAAAUUAAACUCCUAGCUAGUAAUCAAAAUUGAUUACCUACUACUUUCUUAUUUUUUCAAUACGUCAACAUAAUACUUAUAUAAAUAUGUAUGUAUCUUUAUCCAAUUGUGAUUAAUUUUUAAUUAAUAAUUACUCUAUGCACUUUUUCAUCCAUAUUCAUACUUUUUCUAUUUUGUAUCGCACCUCCAAUCCUCCAUACAUACAUUAUGUUUAGCAUACAAAUCAAUAUUUUUCAUCGAUUCCUCACAUACAUGUAUAAAUGGUCUAAAUGGUGACAUUCAUCAUGUGUAUAUACUUUAACUUAAAAUUUCUAUAUUAAUAAUGACAUAAAGGUAAUUUAGAAUCAUAUAUUAGUAUACUUUUUGACAUUUCUGUAUGAUGCACAUGAAGAUAAUUAGAUUAAGAUUUAGAUGUUUAAUUUAAGUUAUUUUUAAUAACAACAUACGUGGGUAAUAUAGAUAAAAUUUUAGAAUGACAUUUUAAGUUAUGCUUUAUAAUGAUAUCUAUUAGUAAAUUGUAUGAAG
rnacentral:lncRNA from 1 species